CUAAUACAUGCCAGUCCGAGCGAACAGACAAGGAGCUUGCUCCUUUGACGUUAGCGGCGGACGGGUGAGUAACACGUGGGUAACCUACCUAUAAGACUGGGAUAACUUCGGGAAACCGGAGCUAAUACCGGAUAAUAUUUCGAACCGCAUGGUUCGAUAGUGAAAGAUGGUUUUGCUAUCACUUAUAGAUGGACCCGCGCCGUAUUAGCUAGUUGGUAAGGUAACGGCUUACCAAGGCGACGAUACGUAGCCGACCUGAGAGGGUGAUCGGCCACACUGGAACUGAGACACGGUCCAGACUCCUACGGGAGGCAGCAGUAGGGAAUCUUCCGCAAUGGGCGAAAGCCUGACGGAGCAACGCCGCGUGAGUGAUGAAGGUCUUCGGAUCGUAAAACUCUGUUAUUAGGGAAGAACAUACGUGUAAGUAACUAUGCACGUCUUGACGGUACCUAAUCAGAAAGCCACGGCUAACUACGUGCCAGCAGCCGCGGUAAUACGUAGGUGGCAAGCGUUAUCCGGAAUUAUUGGGCGUAAAGCGCGCGUAGGCGGUUUUUUAAGUCUGAUGUGAAAGCCCACGGCUCAACCGUGGAGGGUCAUUGGAAACUGGAAAACUUGAGUGCAGAAGAGGAAAGUGGAAUUCCAUGUGUAGCGGUGAAAUGCGCAGAGAUAUGGAGGAACACCAGUGGCGAAGGCGACUUUCUGGUCUGUAACUGACGCUGAUGUGCGAAAGCGUGGGGAUCAAACAGGAUUAGAUCCUUGGGUAAGUCCAAAAGUGGUUU
rnacentral:rRNA from 1 species